GGAUAUGCUGAGCAUUGGUUGAGCUCAAGUGCCUGUAAACCACCCGCAUAAAAAUAAGUCUGUGUUGGUUCGAUUCCAACCGUAUCCA
rnacentral:tRNA from 1 species